rfam:Schistosoma mansoni strain Puerto Rico chromosome 4, complete genome
GAACUGCUGAAGAUUGCCACACUAGGAAGAAACGGCCGUCCAGUGC